rnacentral:rRNA from 1 species
AUACGGAGGGUGCGAGCGUUAAUCGGAAUUACUGGGCGUAAAGGGCGCGUAGGCGGUCUAUCAAGUCAGGUGUGAAAUCCCACGGCUCAACCGUGGAGGUGCAUCUGAAACUGAUAGACUUGAGUAUGGGAGAGGAAAGUGGAAUUCCCGGUGUAGAGGUGAAAUUCGUAGAUAUCGGGAGGAACACCAGUGGCGAAGGCGACUUUCUGGACCAAUACUGACGCUGAGGCGCGAAAGCGUGGGGAGCAAACAGGAUUAGAUACCCUAGUAGUCC